ACACACGGUAUAUAUGUACCUUACCUUUUCUCAAUUCCAAUACCAUCCAACAACGUACUAUAGUAUUUCAUCACUAACGAACCACUUGCCACUCCCCCAAGUCCUUCAUUAAUUACUACCACCUCGGCAACUCACAUGCCCUACAUUAUUGCCCUUGCCGUUCGAUAAAUUUUAUAUCUAGGGAACUCACCCUCCAUUCUUACAACAUGUUGAGCCAAAUGAUUAUUAUUACAAGUGGAUAGUUAAUAACCACUUGCCACUAUGUACACUCACUAUUAUAGGGCUGAUAAUAGCAGCAAAAAAUUAGCAGCCGUUUUUCAAACCACCGCAAAAACAACAAAUUCGCAGCGGUUAUGAGCUGCAGUUUGGCCACUGCUACAAAGCUGCUGAUAGCAGUGAUUCAAUUUAAACAGCUACAAAUCAAUCAUUUUGAGUAUAUAUUUUAUUAUAAUUAUUAAAACACUAACACCACUACACUAGCUAUAUACUACUCUUCUGAAAACACUUACCGGGCUCCAAUCCCUCUUUUCCAUCGUUAUACACUCCCCACUAGCCCUAACUCUCAGCCCUAACUCCCAUAGCCCUCCCGCCGUCGAAGCCUUCGCCUCUCGCCUUUCGCUGCUCUCGCCGUUGAAGAUCUUCUCAUCUCCUCGCGCUGCCAGAAAGUCGUAUCGGGGUUGCUGUCGCGUCGCCAUCUCUGCCUUCGUUGUCAAGCCUAGACCUAUCCUCGUCCGUUCGGAGCUGCUGUUCGUCCGUCUUCUCUUCUCCUAUACAGCGGAGAUCUCCACUCGAUUCGUGUUCUCUCUCUUUAUUCGACAUCCGUUCUUAACUACUCUGCCUCCUCGUUGAGAUCCGCUGUCAAAUCCUCUCCAACGAUGCCAACACUAAUUUCAUGGAAGUUUCUUAUUCUUUUAUUUUUCUAUUUAAUUGAUUUAUCAUUUGUUACAUCUUUGUUUUUUUGCUAUCUAGUUUAAUCUUGGGAAAUGCUUUUAGUAAACUAUUGAGAGAUGAAUUUGCUUUUUUUGAGAUUUAGAUAUGGUUGUAAAAUUUGAUUAGAUUCUUUGUAAAAUUCAUGUGUGUUAGGAUUAUCUAUUAGGAAUUAGGUUGAAUUUUUUUAUCUGUUUUAAUUGAUGAGUAUCCAUUUACACUCUUUGUCUUCAGUUUGAAAAAUCUAUUGAUAGAACACGGUAUUAUAGUACUAAUUAAUCAAUGUCACUGAAUUAUUUUACAACUUGUAAUGGUAAUAUAACUAAUCAUAUUCUUGCUCAUUGAAGGUUACUACACAUGGAUGGAAAGUAGAAAUAGUGCUAACACAGUUGAAAAUGGUGUAGAUCAUUCUCAAGUUUAAUGUAGUGGAGAUCAGAAAGAUACAAUUGUCUGGAGAUUUUACCAAUCUGUCAGCUUUUAAUGAAAGUAUUGCUGAGGACAGGGUUAUUUUUCCAACAGUAGGCGCAGAGCUAUCUUUCUUUCAGGAGCAUGUUGAAGAAAAAAGCCAAUUUAAUAACUUCUGGUGUUUGAUUGAAAGAAUUCAAGGUGAAGGAGCAACAUUUAAUUUCGAAGUUGAAUUUUGUUCCAAGUUGUGAUCACAUGCUGAUCAUAUAAUGGAAACCAUCCAAAGGCAUUUCAAGAACGAAGAAGUUCAGGUUCUUCCAUUUGCACAGAAGCACUUUAGUAUCGAAAGGCAACGUGAACUUCUGUAUCAAAGCUUGUGCAUGAUACCUCUGAAAUUGAUUGAAUGUGUGCUACCAUGGUUGGUUGGAUCAUUGACUAAAGAUGAAGCAAACAUGUUUUUGAAAUAUAUAUGUAAUUAGCAGCUCCAGCAACAGUCUGCUUUAGUCACACUCUUUUGUGGUUGGACUUGCAAGGCUCGUAACUAUGGUCUGUGUUUGUCUUCAAGUGCAUUAGGUUGCUGUUAAUCUCAAACAUUUGCUGACAUUAAAGAGAAUAUUGUUCAGCCCUUCUGUGACCGUAGGCCACAGCUAAUUCGAUUGCUUUAUGUGCAAGAUAUUGGAAGUGCCUAAACCUUUCCUUAUUCAAUCUUUAGCUUGCUUUAGUGAUUAUUUUUUGUAAUAUGUUUUACUUUACUGCAAUAUUAUUUCUAUAGAAAUUGAUUAUAAUUAUUUAAUUUCAUGUUUUAGAUAAAACUAUAUUCUAUGCUCUAUGAAUGUUGGUGAUAUAUCAUAUAUUAUUUCAUGCAGAGCACAUUUCACAAUUUAAUGAAGAGGCACGCUCUCAAUACAUCAAGAAGUACAAGACCAUCAUACAUCCAAGAGAGGUAAUACAUAGUCGAAAAAGUUAGAGUAUGGCCUUGGCUUGAGAAGGCUUUGGAUACAAUGAGUGUGGCUUUUUUGUUCUAUUUUUUAUUUAUUAUUUAUCUUUUAUUGAAUCCUUGUAUUCAAUUAUGUGUUAUUGGACUUUUGAAAGAAUGAAUUGCUACUUGAAUAUUCCUAAGAGUUGCACUUUCUUGGUAUGCCGCCAUUAUGUUUAGUUUUCCUUCCAUUGUUAUUCAUGAGGCAUUUUCACUUAAGAUUCU